AGCGAACGUUAGCGGCAGGCCUAACACAUGCAAGUCGCACGAGAAUUCGGCUUCGGCCGAUAGUAAAGUGGCGGACGGGUGAGUAACACGUGGAUAAUCUGCCCUUCGGCGGGGGACAACAGUCCGAAAGGAUUGCUAAUACCGCAUACGUCAACGAGGUCUUCGGACCUUGUUGGGAAAGGUGGCCUCUUCAUGAAAGCUACCACCGAAGGAUGAGUCCGCGUCCCAUCAGCUAGUUGGCGGUGUAAUGGACCACCAAGGCUAAGACGGGUAGCUGGUCUGAGAGGAUGAGCAGCCACACUGGGACUGGAAAACGGCCCAGACUCCUACGGGAGGCAGCAGUGGGGAAUAUUGGGCAAGGGGCGCAAGCCUGUCCCAGCCAUGCCGCGUGAGUGAUGAAGGCCUUUGGGUCGUAAAGCUCUGUGGGGAGGGAAGAAACAGCUUGUGGCUAACAUCCACGAGCCCUGACGGUACCUCCUUAGCAAGCACCGGCUAACUCCGUGCCAGCCGCCGCGGUAA
rnacentral:rRNA from 1 species